GGUCGCGUAGCUCAGUCGGUAGAGCGCUGUGCUAAUAACGCAGUGGUCGUGGGUUCGAGCCCCACCGUGACCA
rnacentral:tRNA from 2 species